AGCAGUGGCGGUGGCGUGGAAGCCAUGACCGCCACUAAACACUGCACCUGAACUGGCUGAGGUGGUAGCUGUUAAAGUCUGAAAGAAAAUAUAACUGUAAGCAGGUCACAGAAAUACAGGGCGAACAAAUAGUAAAGCGACAGGAUAAAGCGGAGGUGUGAGUCCAUCUGUCGUCACCGCAACAAAAUACCCGAGGAAAUGUGGAAAACCUUGUGCUGUCUCCUGCUUCAGAGGCACCAGCCCUAGGUCACGCUCAGCCUGGGCCUGUGGUGAGAUCCACCUCACAGCAGAAGUUUGUGUUGCUCUCUCACACUAACGGUUUGAGAAUUUGAUCCCUUCUGCUACCUAGAAGCUGGUUGCCCCUGAGGUCCCUCCUUCCUCUAGCAUACCACUCCUCAGAAUGUCCAGAGAUGACGCUGCAAGGACCCGUCUGUGACGAACUAGGGCACUGAGGAGAGCGUUCUCCAGGUUCCUUCCUCUUCCUGCGUUGCCAUUGUUACCGUGUGACAUUCCAGGGUAGGAGAGGACACCGAGAGUCAGGAGAGACAACAGCACACUCCGCCCAUUUCAAUAAAGAGAAAAGCAAUCUCGAGAAAGCAAACGACCCCUGCCAACCCUCGGUUGGAAUCUCAGGACUCUGACUGCGUAUGCUCUACCCAGUGGAAACGUUCGCCACAUGGGCUGGGGAGAUGACUGGCUUGGGUGAAGCACUUGCUACACAGCCCAAGGACCUGAAAUCAGAACCCCAGAACCCUUAGAAAGACUGGCGUGGCUCCCAGCACCCUACAGGAAAGUGGGAAGCAGCGACAAGAACAUUUCUUGGCAAACUGGGAAGGAGGAGGAGUCCCCAACUGGAACAAGCAUAUCACCACUGAUAUCACCACCACCGUCAUCAUCACCACCACCAUCAUCAUCAUCGCCACCACCGUCUUCAUCACCGGCCAUGCUCCCAUCUGUAACUCUGUCCUACUGCUACUUUAUGUACCUAUCACUACAUCAGCCUCAGCUCUCAUUAGUGAGAGAGGUGCUAAGUCACAGAGUUGUUCCGAGUCCUUGCAUGGCUGAGGUCUCAUUCUAGGCAAUGAGACAAUGAAGAAUAGACACACACACACAUUUGUCAAUGGACAGAAAGGCUGAGAUUUUGUGGACUAAGGGUUCCAAUGGGAAAGCAGAAGGACCCAAGAAGCACAGCGUGUUUGUUACGUACAAGGAGGAGGGGCUGUGAUAUGCAUACAGAUUAUCAAGGAGUGGGGUUUAUUGUGUACAAAAAGAAGGCAAGGAUAUUGCCUACAGCUGAACAAGGUGGCAGAGUUAUUGAUUACAGAUAAGCAAGGAGGCAGCAUAAGAAUAAAAAUUUUUUUAUGGUUUUAGAGCUUUAUUGUAGAAAGGCAGAGAGAAAAAGAGAAGGUAGAAAGAGAGAGGCUGGCCAUGGCCACGUGGAGAGAGGGGGAAGGGAGAGAGAGAAGGAGGGCUGGACUGUUUUCAGCCUCUGAGACUUACUGCUGACUCAGCUCACCCCUUCCUCGUUCUUUCUGAGUUCUGGCUGUCUGGUUCAAUCUGCUCUCUCUCUCUCUCUCUCUCUCUCUCUCUCUCUCUCUCUCUCUCUCUCUCUCUCUUUCUCUCUCUCUCUCUCUCUCUCUCUCUCUCUCUCUCUCUCUCUCUCUCUCUCUCUCGGCUGGUCUCUGAGUUGCCCUGCUUGGCCUCAUACUAACUCUGGCAAUCUGUUCUCAUCUUCUGGCUCCUCGUCCUGUGCCUCCUUCUGUCUUUAACCUGUCUCCCCAUAAAACUGCCUCCUCCUGUCUCUCUGCACCAUUCUUUCUUCCAUAGCUUCCCUUCCCUCUCUCCUCUCCUGAGAGCUGGGCAAAUCCUAUUCUGCCAGAUCUUCCUGAGCUGUCACUUUGUCUGCCACCCAAUAAGACAUCACUUUUAAACAUGGCUGCUCCUUCUACAAAUUAACUUUGCCUUCAUCGUUUGGAGUUAAAGGUGUGUACAAAGGGUGUAUCUGUACACAGCCUGAGGGAUCAAAGGUGUGUGCUAAGGCUAAGCCACACCACAACUAAAAACAGGGGUUUUCAAUAAGUGACACAAUCUUGGGGUUCUCGGUGUAAUCAAAUAUCCUGCAGCAAGGUGGGGUUAUUAUAUCCAGAUAUCAAGGAGGUGGGUUAUUAUAUAUAGCUGAACAAGGAGGGGGGUGCUUACGGCUGAGCAAGGCAGCAGGGGUUCGAUAAUCUCUGUAGGCAUCGUUUCUAUAAGAGAGCAGCUUUCAGGCCUAAUCAUCCAGGAGGAGAAAGCUACAGCAGAAAUUUUGUGCACGCUCUGUCAACAAGUCCAGAGGGAGGCUUUGCCAUCGCUCUCUGCCGCACUGAGGGAAGGCUAUGUGUGAGGGCCGGGGGACCUUGACAAGCAACACACAUUCACUCUGGACUUUACCCUCGAAGAACUCAACUCUCUAAAACAAAAACUGGUGUGUGCACCUCUUAACAUUGAAAUAAAGUUCUCAUACCAACUUUAAA